rnacentral:rRNA from 1 species
GGGCCCGCACAAGCGGUGGAGUAUGUGGUUUAAUUCGAUGCAACGCGAAGAACCUUACCAGGGUUUGACAUCCUGCGAAUCUCUUGGAAACAGGAGAGUGCCUUCGGGAACGCAGUGACAGGUGGUGCAUGGCUGUCGUCAGCUCGUGUCGUGAGAUGUUGGGUUAAGUCCCGCAACGAGCGCAACCCACGUCUUUAGUUGCCAGCGGUUCGGCCGGGGACUCUAUGGAAACUGCCCGUGAUAAGCGGGAGGAAGGUGUGGAUGACGUCAAGUCCUCAUGGCCCUUACGGGUUGGGCUACACACGUGCUACAAUGGCAUCUACAGUGGGUUAAUCCCCAAAAGAUGUCU